CGUUGGUAGUCAAAAGCGAGGUAGGAGCCACAGAGGAGCCAGAAAGAGGCCAGGUCACGUCCGCCAUGUUUCGAACACCUAUCACGGCGGUAGCCGGCCUGUUCUUCAAGCACUUCUUUCCUCCAUGUUAAAGCUGAAGUAGUACUUGCUAUGCAGCUCUUGUGGCAGUCGAGGCUAGUUUAUUCUGCAAUUUAGCAACGUUUUUAAUAAUCUGGUUACUUAUUUUGUGACGUUGACGUAGCAGUCAUAGAGGCAGCUGGCAGCGCUACAGACACUACAGAUUCUGUGAAACAGCAGGAACCAUCUCUGUAGAGCGUGGGCCGGAUGACUACUAAGUGCGAAAAACAGUUGAAGUUGCAGUGCGGUUAUGUCCAAUUGGCGACGUGAUCGUACUUUCACGGUGCUGCGGUUGCGUCCAAGGAAUCUUCGCGCGGACGAGGUGUGACUUCUGUCACUUGGAACUGCCGGAACAGCCUCUCUUCAAACUGAACUGUUGCUUGCUUCUGCCAACGUAGUCGAAGACGUGCUUCUUGAAAAAAAGACAAUUUUGAAGAUCCCUGUGCAGCAAGACUGGUUGAUGAAAAUGUGAAGCAUGUUGUGCCAGAGUACGAACAGGGUGAAUGAUCUUGGA
rnacentral:lncRNA from 1 species